rnacentral:lncRNA from 1 species
CUAAACUCCAAAACUUAAAUAUAAAGUUUAACAUCAAAACUUUGAUUUAUAACCCAAAUACUAUACACCAAACUAUAAUCUCUAAACCUAAACCAUAUUCUCCAAAUCACAAAUAGCAAAUCUAGAAUUUCAAAUUUAAAUAUAAAUCUUAUAUUAUAAAACACUAAACCACAUACUCCAAAUACUACAAAGUAAUCUUAAACUUUAAAAUUAUUUUUUCAAUAAGUGAUCUCAAAUCUUAAAUCUAUAACCCAAAGUGCUAUACACCAAACCCUUAUACUCCAUAUACACUAAACUUAAAAUUUAAUUCUUCACACAACCAACUCUAAUAUUUCAUACUCUAAUAUCUAAUCCUAAACUUAAACUAAAAAUGGAAUAUCUUUGAAAUUAAAUUUUAAAUUUUAAUCUAAUUUCCAAAUACUAUAUAAUUCCAAACUUUAAACACCAAACUUAAAUCUAAUACUCCAAAUCAUAAAUCUAAACACAAAUGCUUGUUAAUGUAAAUGUAUAACUUAAUUGUUAUAAAAAAAUUAGUAUAAUAAUACAAUUACAGAUUUAUAAACAAUAUUAAAUGAAAUAUAUUGAAUUUUAAGUUAAUUGGUUAAUCUUUAAUAACCAUAUGUUGAUUUUAAUAUAAUUACAAAUGAAGAUUUGUUUCCCUUUGUCUUAUUACUCAAUAUUUUAAAAAUUAGGAUAAUAUUUUCUGACCAUUGAUUGUUUUGGAUCUGACGGUCUUUGUUUUGGAUCUGAUAGUCUGAGACUAAUCUUUUUUCAUUGGUUGAUAUCAAAUAGCAAGGAUGGUGUCAGAUUCAUAACAACCAUUGAUUAAAGUUUAAUCAAAUGGGGGAGAUUUAAUCUCAACUUCUAUCUUUUGUUUUGUUCUUCUACCCACCACAAAGAAACAACCAACUUGUUUUUUGUUUUGUUUUGAACGACACAUCUAACUUGUUCUCUUCAAUAAUUGUCAGACGACGAAAAAAAACUCGUUCGCUUCACUAUAUUUUGUUCGUGUGUCAGACUUCACUCUGCUCAACCCACGGCGUCUCCUCCCUUUCUCAACCCACGGCGUCUUCUCCGUUGCUCAACCCAUGGCGUCUCCUCCCUUCUCAACCCACGGCGUUUAGACAGCGAAGAACCCACCGUCGCUUGACAGAGAAGAACCCACCGGCGCUUGUCAAGAAGAUCCCACCGGCGCUUGUCAAGAAGAACCCACAGGCGUUUCACAGAGCGUGACUGGAGACGGAGAAGGCAGAGAGCGUAACCGGAGACGGAGAAGACAGCGGAGGAGGAGGAAAAUGACGGUGGCAAAUCUCGAGCUUCUCUCCCUCAGUCUCGGAAACAAAGAAGACAGAGGAAAAGGACGACGGCGGUGGCAAAUCCCGAGCUUCUCUCCUUUGCGUCUCCGGUUAUGCUCUCCGACGUUGCCGCUGCGUUUCGCCUCUGCUCACCUCGCCGGCUAUAAUGGAGAAGACAACACGAUGGGCGGCUGAGAGAAGAUUUGGUCUAGUUUUUUUUUAAUGGGUGCAUUUGCCAAAUGACCAAAUUUGAAAUUAAGUGCAGAACAUUUUGACAUAAUAAAGUCCAUAACAAUUAUGUUUAUCAGCUAUUACCUCUUUUAUUUUUUUUUUAAGUUGCCAGUAAUAGUAAUAGAGAGAGAAACUAAUGACAUCAAUAUUUUAACACCCCACAAUUAAUUAUCACACGUAAUACAAUCAACACCACACUUUUGUUUAACACAUAAAUAUAUAUCUGAUUUCUCUAUAUUAUAUCACUAAAAUUAAUAGGAUUCAAAAUCCACUCACGUCUAGUAAAUACUAAAUUUUACUCUAAACCUCAACUCCUAAAUACUAAACCCUAAACUUUAAACAUCACAUUUCCAUCUAAAUACUAAACCCUAAAUCUUAAUUACUGAACUCUAAACCCAAAUAUAAACUUUAAACCCAAUUAUCAAAAUAUGAAAAUAGUAUAUAAUAUUAUGUAAUAUUAAACUAAAUCCAAACAAAAUUCUUCAAUGCUAAACUCAGACCUAACUUUUGAAUACUAAACCCAAAAAUGCUAUCACUAAACCCAAACCUAAACUCCCACCUUCCAAAUACUAAACUCUAAAUCCUAAUCACUAAACCCUAAACCCUAAACCCAAGUAUAGACUUUAAACCCAAAUAGAAUGGAACAAAAUACAUAGUAUAGUACAAAUUGGUGAGCAAAAAAGAACACUCUUUAUUAAUCGUCGAAUGGGACAUAUCACUAAACUCAAACCUCAACCCCCACCUUCCAAAUACUAAACCCUAAAUCUUAAUCAUUAAACCCUAAACCUAAGUAUAAACUCUAAACCCAAAUAGUAUAGAACAAAAUACAUAGUAUAGUACAUAUAGUUGUAAACAAGAAAUUGAUAAAUAAUGAAUUUAUCAAACAAUCGAUGGUACAAUAAUAAAACAACCGUAG